rnacentral:lncRNA from 1 species
CAAUUAUAAUUAAAAUAUAACUGUUUGAUUAUAUAAUUGAAAUUGCUUCCAUUUGAUUAGUUUGGAUCCUUUCCAUAGCCAUGCCCCUCUUUUUGAAUAAAUCAGCCUUUGUACUCUGUGCUGCAGGAACAUUAAUGUAGGUGCAGUCAUGGGCUGAAGAAUACAUAUCUGUUUCAAUCCACAGCAGAGCCUGAAAGGCUAACGGACAUCCAAGGUUACGCUCCUGUGGUUCGGGCUCUGUGGCUUGUCCUGGAAGGAGACAAGGGUUUCACUAUGCUCUGGGGUCUGCGGUUCGGGAACGCUCCUGCUUGCCCAGUAAAUGAGUAAUCCAUAUGAAGACAGUACUGAUUCUUCUGCCCAUAUCAGGAAUGAUGAA